rnacentral:rRNA from 1 species
UACGUAGGGGGCAAGCGUUGUCCGGAUUUAUUGGGCGUAAAGAGCGUGUAGGCGGCCACACAGGUCAGCUGUGAAAACUCGAGGCUCAACCUCGAGACGUCGGUUGAAACCGUAUGGCUAGAGUCCGGAAGAGGAGAGUGGAAUUCCCGGUGUAGCGGUGAAAUGCGCAGAUAUCGGGAGGAACACCAAUGGCGAAGGCAGCUUGCUGGGACGGUACUGACGCUGAGGCGCGAAAGCGUGGGGAGCAAACAGG